GAUACGUCCCAUGUUUUGAGCAGAAGAGACUAUGAUACACAGAAUGAAUCUUCUACUUCAAACAGCAGCCACACUAACCUCCAGGGCGGAUCAUUUAUUGCAACUGGUGGUGGAUCAAGUAGUCAGG